rnacentral:rRNA from 1 species
AGUGGGGUAUUUUGGACAAUGGGCGAAAGCCUGAUCCAGCAAUGCCGCGUGCAGGAUGAAGGCCUUCGGGUUGUAAACUGCUUUUGUACGGAACGAAAAAGCUCCUUCUAAUACAGGGGGCCCAUGACGGUACCGUAAGAAUAAGCACCGGCUAACUACGUGCCAGCAGCCGCGGUAAUACGUAGGGUGCGAGCGUUAAUCGGAAUUACUGGGUCGUAAAGCGUGCGCAGGCGGUUACUGUAAGACAGAUGUGAAAUCCCCGGGCUCAACCUGGGAACUGCAUUUGUGACUGCAUGGCUAGAGUACGGUAGAGGGGGAUGGAAUUCCGUCGUGUAGCAGUGAACAUGCGUAGCAUACUGCGGAGGAACACCGAUGGCGAAGGCAAUCCCCUGGACCUGUACUGACGCUUCACUGCACGAAAGUCGUGGGGAGCAAACAGGCAUUAGCAUACCCUGGUAGUCCACGCCCUAAACGCAUGUCAACUGGUUGUUGGGACAUUAGUUUUCUCAGUAACGAAGUCUCACGUCGUGAAGUUGACCG